rnacentral:tRNA from 1 species
GCUGCUGUGGCUCAAAGGUAGAGCACAUCACUCGUAAUGAUGGGGUUGUGAGUUCGAUUCUCACCAGCAGCUCCA